GGAGCCCUAAAAAGUAUCUUACACAGGAGGGAAAAAAUUAAAAAGUACAAGCUCCAGAUCUUUGCUGCCUGUCCUGCAUUUGAGCACCACCUCCUGAAAGCCCUCCACACCAACCCACUGCAACACUGCUCAGCCCGUCCAAAGCUUCUGUGUACAGAAGGCGCCCAAUGCGCAGUCAUCAGGAGCUGGUAUCUAGGCAGGUUUGGGGGAACAAGGUCAGCUGAGGACCAGGACUGUGAGUGGGAAGGGGUCUGUCAGCAGCCACUGAGCCAUGUCCUCCCCCCGCCGACCCACGGGUGAAAAUCAGGGGGGAAGCCAAAGCAAGAGCCAGGCUGUAGGCUGGAGACAACUCACAGCCCCAAGAGAACCCAGGGAGCAGGAGCAGACAGUGGGGCUGGGAGAGGCAGGCCCCAGCCAAGCCUGGAUGGGAGGCUGACAUGGGGUCCUGGGGUUCCUGGAGGGGAAGGCUCUCCUGGCAGAGACCUGAUCAGGCCCAGGGGUGCACCUGAGGGCCAAGGCAGGCAGUCAGCUGAGAGAGGUGACACACAGUAAGUCACUUCCCGGGGUGGAAAGACCACAUCACUAUAGCACACACACACCACAUCCCCAGAAAGGUCUCAUGGCUUCCAUCAAUCAUGCAGCUUCUCCGACACUGCUGUGGGCCUGUCCCAUCCUGGGCAACCAUGGAUACCUAAGAGGGGUUCAAGGGCAGUCAGACUGGGCGGGGCCUCUGACAUCGAGGUGCCAAUCCAGCUUCCUACUGUGUAGCCUUGGUGAAGUCAUUUCCCCUUUCUGAGCAGUAAGAUGAGGACAGACAAGAGUUCCUGCCUCCUAGGUGUUCAGGAGCUAUUGCUACUAUUGCUCCAUUUUAGACUUGACAAAACUGAGGCCAGCAGGAGCAGUGGGUCCCUUCCACUCACCGCACCCUUGACCCGAUCGGCGGUCCCCCGGGCCACCUACACUGGCAUGGCUCAGAAAGGACAAGCUGUGUCUGAGAACACACAGGAUGGCAAGUGGUGGCCAGGUGGGGACUCAAACUCGUCCACAGCCCCUGUCCAGAUCCGAGGAGAGGCCAGAGCCGCAGCACCCCUCCUCGCAGAGCGCCCCUCACCCCGUCUCCAAUUCCCGAGCUCCCAGGACUGUAAAGAAUAGAUACUACAGAAGGAAAACUGUUUCUCUUACACCCGCCCUGGGGAAGGGGAGCUUAAGCCCCCAUCCCCAUCCCCAGGCAUGGGAUGAGGGGGUGUGGGAUAGGUCGGAGGGGUAACUAGGGGGAAAGCUGACAGGCACAGUACCACCUCCACGCGGGGACCAAGGUGACACCACAGCCCUCGUUCAUCUCCAUAUCGUGUCCCCUUGACGUGAUGAGACGCGAAUGGCAUCAAGUAGUCUCCCUCCCAGAAGUUCAAACCAGGUCUACCUGUGAGAAAACCCCGAGACAAAUUCCAAAUGAGGUGCAUUCCACAGCACAUCUAUAUUUUUCAAAACUGUCCAGGCCAUCUGUAGUGGACUGACAACUGGUGGUCA